rnacentral:tRNA from 1 species
GGGCCUGUAGCUCAGUUGGCAGAGCAGGGGACUUUUAAUCCCAAGGUCGUGAGUUCGAUUCUCACCGGGCCCA